rnacentral:rRNA from 1 species
UAACCCCCCCCUCCUACGGGAGGCAGCAGUAGGGAAUCUUCCACAAUGGGCGCAAGCCUGAUGGAGCAACACCGCGUGAGUGAAGAAGGGUUUCGGCUCGUAAAGCUCUGUUGUUGGAGAAGAACGUGCGUGAGAGUAACUGUUCACGCAGUGACGGUAUCCAACCAGAAAGUCACGGCUAACUACGUGCCAGCAGCCGCGGUAAUACGUAGGUGGCAAGCGUUAUCCGGAUUUAUUGGGCGUAAAGCGAGCGCAGGCGGUUACUUAGGUCUGAUGUGAAAGCCUUCGGCUUAACCGAAGAAGUGCAUCGGAAACCGGGCGACUUGAGUGCAGAAGAGGACAGUGGAACUCCAUGUGUAGCGGUGGAAUGCGUAGAUAUAUGGAAGAACACCAGUGGCGAAGGCGGCUGUCUGGUCUGCAACUGACGCUGAGGCUCGAAAGCAUGGGUAGCGAACAGGAUUAGAUACCCUGGUAGUCCAUGCCGUAAACGAUGAGUGCUAGGUGUUGGAGGGUUUCCGCCCUUCAGUGCCGGAGCUAACGCAUAAGCACUCCGCCUGGGAGAAAAACC